UAGGGAAUCUUCCACAAUGGACGCAAGUCUGAUGGAGCAACGCCGCGUGAGUGAAGAAGGUUUUCGGACCGUAAAGCUCUGUUGUUGGUGAAGAAGGAUAGAGGUAGUAACUGGCCUUUAUUUGACGGUAAUCAACCAGAAAGUCACGGCUAACUACGUGCCAGCAGCCGCGGUAAUACGUAGGUGGCAAGCGUUGUCCGGAUUUAUUGGGCGUAAAGCGAGCGCAGGCGGAAGAAUAAGUCUGAUGUGAAAGCCCUCGGCUUAACCGAGGAAUUGCAUCGGAAACUGUUUUUCUUGAGUGCAGAAGAGGAGAGUAGAACUCCAUGUGUAGCGGUGGAAUGCGUAGAUAUAUGGAAGAAUACCAGUGGCGAAGGCGGCUCUCUGGUCUGCAACUGACGCUGAGGCUCGAAAGCAUGGGUAGCGAACAGGAUUAGAUACCCUGGUAGCCCAUGCCGUAAACGAUGAGUGCUAAG
rnacentral:rRNA from 1 species